AUUGAACGCUGGCGGCAGGCCUAACACAUGCAAGUCGAACGGUAACAGGAAGAUUCUUUCUUCUUUGCUGACGGGAGGCGUACGUGAGGGGAAUGUCACGUACACUGCCUGAGGGAGUAGGCUAACUACUUUAGACGUUAGCUAGUACCGCAUAACGGCGCAAGACCAACGAGUGGUCACUUCGGUACUCUUUCCAUCUGAGGUUCCCCGAUGGGAUUAGCUAGGAGGUGUGGUAACGCACCAACUCGGCGACGACCCCUAGCUGGUCUGAGAGGAUGACCAGUCACAGUGGAACUGGGACACGGUCCAGACUCCUAAGGGAGGCAGCAGUGGGGAAUAUUGGACAAUGGGCGGAAGCCUGAUGCAGCCAUGCCGCGUGUAUGAAGCAGGCCUUCGGGUUGUAAAGUACUUUCAGCGGGGAGGAAGGGAGUAAAGUUAAUACCUUUGCUCAUUGACGUUACCCGCAGAAGAAGCACCGGCUAACUCCGUG
rnacentral:rRNA from 1 species